rnacentral:rRNA from 1 species
GCUGUCCCGUUGCUGAGUGUAAUUAGUUCUACUACUACUACUACACAUCCGUACCUCGAUGGGAGUCGACUACUAGUCGAUCAACGAGUCAGUGGCGGGCUAGGUAGCCCAGAUGGACAUGCCACUCCUUCUACAGGUGCCGCCGCCCGCGACGAAACAACGAUCGGCGGCGGCAGCAGACGAGGAGCCGCCUGCCGCUCUCGCUCCGAGCGGCAGCGCGUCAGGGGCGGCACAUGCACAAGCCGCUGAGGGAGCACCUGCAGCCGUUGUUGCUGAAGGACGGCGGCGGCCGCGGGUCCCGCCCAAGGGGGACGCCGCAGCUGGACGGCGCGCGCUAGGGGCCGCCUGCCUGGCCCUCCAAGUGGUUGCCGAUGUUGGACCGGCUGUAGUAGCGUGUUGCACACCCCAAACUGUACUCGGGCAAUCGAAUGGAGAGGAACUGUGGCGUUCGCUCGGAGCUGGAGGACUCGUCGGUGCAACCCCGGUUAAUACGAAGGCCACCUAGUCCUUAGGAACUGCUGUGACCCUUGCCGUGCUAGUGCGAGGCUCUUGUCCAGUUCUACAAACGACUGUGGUUCCGCUGGUACUAGUUCCGGUUGUUCGACCCUUUAUUAUCCCAGUUAGCGAACGACAGGGUCAGGGAUAAGGAGUAGUCGUGACGUCCGUUGCUGAAGAACCGCAAACCACUGCCAUCCCGUUGGUCUUCACUACGUAGCCGGAUGUAGCGGUUUUACCAGUGGUGGAUGGAGUUCGUGUAGUUCCUCAACAUGUCCGACCCCCGUGCCUCCGAUCCUGACGACCUGCGCGACGGGUAGCCUACGAACGGCCCGACGUCUUGAAGGAAACCUGUACUACUGCGCACGCUGCGGCGACGGUUGAGAGACCGGGCCGCCAAGUUGCGGGAUGAGGCCGAACUUUACCGGUCGCGGUUCCGUCGAAGCUACGGUCCGUACCUCAUGAGGUAGCGGUCGUAAAUGCCGUAGAAGAGGCUGUACUAGUGGUUGGGCCUCGACCUGUUGUCAAUCAAGAGAAACGUACUGAGAGCUACGUUGUUCCCAGUUAAAGAAGUUUUAAAGAUAAUGUUCCAGACCUUUUGGUUUUAAUGAGGGAGGCAGGGUAUUAUAUUCUUGUAAAAACUGUGAUCAUUUGCGAGAAUAUAAUACCCUGCCUCCCUCAUAUAACAUCAUCUUACCUUUGUAAGCCGAUUAGAUAUGUGCCAAUGGAGACUCCGUGGUUAGCUAAUGACCUUGUACUUGACAACCUAGCCAUAGUAGUCCUGACGUCCUCCGCUGCUCACGCACGACGCCUCCUCCCUCCGAGUUGCGCCUCGAGCUGACGAGCCGCUCGAGUUUGGAAACGUGGCUGGCGCUGCCCAUGCACAAGACCCUGUUCCAGGUGCCCUGCGUCCGACGGAUGGUCGCUCGGCAACGGCGGUACAAGCUGCCGCGCCGCCACUGUUUCAAGUGCCUCGGGCAGUCGAAGCCCGUCAACUAGUGGCCCUUUGUCCGUCGCGGCCAACGGCACAAUCUAUUUGACCUCGCAGGCAUGCACCUAGACCUCCGACUCUAGAUCGGUUCCCUUCCCUUAAGCCUCCUAAGAAAACGUCACAAGCCACAUCAUGUAGAAGUUGGGGAGACCCCUAACAUACACGCAUGCAGGUGGUUUGAUGGGGCGCGGAGCUAUAAGGGAGUGAAUACAGAGAACGUAAUUGAAUUAGUUUAGUUUAGAACAUUUUGGAGUUGAUUUAGUUUUGAAAAGGCUAGAAAGAAAUGUGUAUAAGUUUAGUUUAGGUACCAGUUCUUGACUCCGUUCCACUGAGGUGGUAGGGACGAAAAACAGGAGCGGUAACUGGGAGACGUCGUCUAGGAGCUACAACGGUACCUUGUACUGAAAAACAUGUUCUAAUCUCCCUCCCACUGGG